UGAAAAGAUCAGUCAAGACUACAACCAAGAUCCAGCAAUGGCUGACUGGAGAAAGACACAGAAAAUUUACAACAUCCAACCUCUACAAUAAGGAUGUCUAGAUAUGAAGAUAUGAAUCCCGUAGACCCAGCCCAAGGGAAAAACUUGGUAAAAAGGACCUAAGGAUGUAUCUGCUGUGGAGGCAGGAAGCCAUGGAAACGGUUACACAGCUUCUCUGAGCAUGAUGAUGGUCUUUGAGGAGCACUCCUAUGGAGGCAGAGGCCCCUGGUGACGCUAAGGCAGAGGCUGCAGUGCCAGAUCAUCAUAAGAACGUUGCUUCAUGUUUUUGUUACUGUGUCUCGGCCUCCAAGUUCAACAAGUUGACAUUUGGAUGAAAAUGCC